rnacentral:rRNA from 1 species
UACGGAGGGUGCAAGCGUUGCUCGGAAUCAUUGGGCGUAAAGCGCGUGUAGGCGGUCCGGUAAGUCCGCUGUGAAAGUCGGGGGCUCAACCCUCGGAUGCCGGUGGAUACUGUCGGGCUUGAGUACGGAAGAGGCGAGUGGAAUUCCUGGUGUAGCGGUGAAAUGCGCAGAUAUCAGGAGGAACACCAAUUGCGAAGGCAGCUCGCUGGGACGUUACUGACGCUGAGACGCGAAAGCGUGGGGAUCAAACAGG